AGAGUUUGAUCAUGGCUCAGGACGAACGCUGGCGGCGUGCCUAACACAUGCAAGUCGAACGAGAAUUUUCUGAACAAUCCCCUCGGGGUGCGUUCAGGAAAGGAAAGUGGCGGACGGGCGAGUAACGCGUGAGUAACCUGCCCAUAAGAGGGGAAUAAUCCGUGGAAACGCGGACUAAUACCGCAUAUUGUUACUGAACCGCAUGAUUUAGUAAUGAAAGAUUUAUCGCUUAUGGAUGGACUCGCGUCAGAUUAGCUUGUUGGUGAGGUAACGGCUCACCAAGGCGACGAUCUGUAGCCGAACUGAGAGGUUGAUCGGCCGCAUUGGGACUGAGACACGGCCCAGACUCCUACGGGAGGCAGCAGUGGGGAAUAUUGCGCAAUGGGGGGAACCCUGACGCAGCAACGCCGCGUGCAGGAAGAAGGUCUUCGGAUUGUAAACUGUUGUCGCAGGGGAAGAAGACAGUGACGGUACCCUGUGAGAAAGUCACGGCUAACUACGUGCCAGCAGCCGCGGUAAUACGUAGGUGACAAGCGUUGUCCGGAUUUACUGGGUGUAAAGGGCGCGUAGGCGGAUAUGCAAGUCAGCCGUGAAAUGCCGGGGCUUAACCCCGGAGCUGCGGUUGAAACUGUAUACCUUGAGUAUCGGAGAGGAAAGCGGAAUUCCCAGUGUAGCGGUGAAAUGCGUAGAUAUUGGGAGGAACACCAGUGGCGAAGGCGGCUUUCUGGACGACAACUGACGCUGAGGCGCGAAAGUGUGGGGAGCAAACAGGAUUAGAUACCCUGGUAGUCCACACCGUA
rnacentral:rRNA from 1 species